AUACGGAGGAUCCGAGCGUUAUCCGGAUUUAUUGGGUUUAAAGGGAGCGUAGGCGGACGCUUAAGUCAGUUGUGAAAGUUUGCGGCUCAACCGUAAAAUUGCAGUUGAUACUGGGUGUCUUGAGUACAGUAGAGGCAGGCGGAAUUUGGGGGGUGGCGGUGAAAUGAUUAGAUAUCACGAAGAACACCGAUUGCGAAGGCAGCCUGCUGGACUGUAACUGACGCUGAUGCUCGAAAGUGUGGGUAUCAAACAGGAUUAGAUACCCUGGUAGUCCACACAGUAAACGAUGAAUACUCGCUGUUUGCGAUAUACAGUAAGCGGCCAAGCGAAAGCGUUAAGUAUUCCACCUGGGGAGUACGCCGGCAACGGUGAAACUCAAAGGAAUUGACGGGG
rnacentral:rRNA from 1 species